rnacentral:rRNA from 1 species
GAGGUCAGGCUGAAGACCUUACCCGAUUAGCUGAGAGGUGGUGCAUGGCCGUCGUCAGUUCGUACUGUGAAGCAUCCUGUUAAGUCAGGCAACGAGCGAGACCCACGUCCACAGUUGCCAGCAUACCCUCCGGGGUGAUGGGUACACUGUGGAGACCGCCGCUGCUAAAGCGGAGGAAGGAGUGGGCAACGGUAGGUCAGUAUGCCCCGAAUCUCCCGGGCUACACGCGGGCUACAAUGGUUGGUACAAUGGGCAUCUACCCCGAAAGGGGAAGGAAAUCUCUUAAAGCCAAUCGUAGUUCGGAUUGAGGGCUGCAACUCGCCCUCAUGAAGCUGGAAUCCGUAGUAAUCGCGUUUCAACAGAACGCGGUGAAUACGUCCCUGCUCCUU